GUGCUUGCUUUGGCAGCACAUACACUAAAAUUGGAACGAUACAGAGAAGAAUAGCGUGGCCCCUGCAUAAGGAUGACACGCAAAUAUGUGAAGUGUUCUGUAUUUUU